CGGCGAGCGGCGGACGGGUGAGUAAUGUCUGGGAAACUGCCUGAUGGAGGGGGAAAACUACUGGAAACGGUAGCUAAUACCGCAUGACCUCGAAAGAGCAAAGUGGGGGAUCUUCGGACCUCACGCCAUCGGAUGUGCCCAGAUGGGAUUAGCUAGUAGGUGAGGUAAUGGCUCACCUAGGCGACGAUCCCUAGCUGGUCUGAGAGGAUGACCAGCCACACUGGAACUGAGACACGGUCCAGACUCCUACGGGAGGCAGCAGUGGGGAAUAUUGCACAAUGGGCGCAAGCCUGAUGCAGCCAUGCCGCGUGUGUGAAGAAGGCCUUAGGGUUGUAAAGCACUUUCAGCGAGGAGGAAGGCAUCACACUUAAUACGUGUGGUGAUUGACGUUACUCGCAGAAGAAGCACCGGCUAACUCCGUGCCAGCAGCCGCGGUAAUACGGAGGGUGCAAGCGUUAAUCGGAAUUACUGGGCGUAAAGCGCACGCAGGCGGUUUGUUAAGUCAGAUGUGAAAUCCCCGCGCUUAACGUGGGAACUGCAUUUGAAACUGGCAAGCUAG
rnacentral:rRNA from 1 species